rnacentral:rRNA from 1 species
UACGGAGGGUGCGAGCGUUACUCGGAAUUACUGGGCGUAAAGGGCGCGUAGGCGGCCGGGCAAGUCUGGUGUGAAAGCCCAGGGCUCAACCCUGGAAGGGCACUGGAAACUGCAAGGCUUGAGUCAGGUAGAGGGAGGCGGAAUUCCCGGUGUAGCGGUGAAAUGCGUAGAUAUCGGGAGGAAGGCCGGUGGCGAAGGCGGCCUCCUGGGCCGUUCCUGACGCUGAGGCCCGAAAGCUAGGGGAGCAAACCGG